rnacentral:sRNA from 1 species
GUCUUGAGGAAUGCGGUCGCCCCCUUGGGAAAGUACAUAUCUGGGAGCAGCAGGCGGCUCCGCGCUCGCACUCCCGCUCCUCCGCCCGACCGCGCGCUUGCCCCGCCGCUCCUGCCGCAGCCCCAGGGCCCCUCGCCGCCGCCACCAUGGACGCCAUCAAGAAGAAGAUGCAGAUGCUGAAGCUCGACAAGGAGAACGCGUUGGAUCGAGCUGAGCAGGCGGAGGCAGACAAGAAGGCGGCGGAAGACAGGAGCAAGCAGGUCUGCGCCUCCCCGGCCCUGCGCCCGCGCCCAGAGCGCCGGGACUCGAGCCUGGCACCCCCGGCUGGAUCCCCACCCCGAGGACUCGGGGAGCCACCACCCUACCCCCACCACCACCCAGGGCGGCCAGGGCGCGCGUCUGGAAAGAAGGAAGGGAAACGCAAGAGCCAGGCUUAGUCUAACUUUGUAGUCUGGUCUGAGAACGCUUAUUUCCCUUCUCUGGUUCCCAUGGCCCGCGAAAUCAAGUCCUAGAGGCGCUUUAUUCUCAGGACUGGGAAUCAGUUUGGGGGAGGGAGGAGGACACCCGGUUCCUGGGGACGUUUGAAGGAAGGGCGAGGGAUGGAGAAAGGGGGUCGAGUAACUCAAGUGUUAGAAGUUCUUUGACUUUUGACUAGGGAGAAAGGAACCUUAAACUUGGGGAGGAGAGGGGAGUCCUGGAGUUGUUACCUAAGAACAAAGAUGAGACGGAAUGGAGGCUACAGCCCGAAAGCCAGGCCAGCAGUGGCGUUCUUCUGUGUCCCCAAGUAGUGGACUUGAGCCCGCUGAGACCUCGGCAGGAGUCUCGUCCCAGGGCAGGUGGGUGUGCGGGGUGAGCCGCAGAGCGGUUCCAGCUCAGGUAAAGAGGAAGUUACCUCGGGUCCUUUGCACUCCAACUCGGCGGCGCCCCGAGCCCGAGGGGCCCCAGCCAACCCGACGCCCGUGUGUUGUAUGUGUCUAACACCCGGUCCGUGCCGGCCGCCCGCGCCCGCCCGCCGCUGCCCCCAGCUCGAGGAGGACAUCGCGGCCAAGGAGAAGUUGCUGCGGGUGUCGGAGGACGAGCGGGACCGGGUGCUGGAGGAGCUGCACAAGGCGGAGGACAGCCUCCUGGCCGCCGAAGAGGCCGCCGCCAAGGCUGAAGCCGAUGUAGCUUCUCUGAACAGACGCAUCCAGCUGGUUGAGGAAGAGUUGGAUCGUGCCCAGGAGCGUCUGGCAACAGCUUUGCAGAAGCUGGAGGAAGCUGAGAAGGCAGCAGAUGAGAGUGAGAGAGGCAUGAAAGUCAUUGAGAGUCGAGCCCAAAAAGAUGAAGAAAAAAUGGAAAUUCAGGAGAUCCAACUGAAAGAGGCCAAGCACAUUGCUGAAGAUGCCGACCGCAAAUAUGAAGAGGUGGCCCGUAAGCUGGUCAUCAUUGAGAGCGACCUGGAACGUGCAGAGGAGCGGGCUGAGCUCUCAGAAGGCCAAGUCCGACAGCUGGAAGAACAAUUAAGAAUAAUGGAUCAGACCUUGAAAGCAUUAAUGGCUGCAGAGGAUAAGGUACUGAUGGCUCAUGUGUGGUUUUUAGGUUUAACUGCAACCCAGACGUCUUUCAGCUUCCAAUGCCUACUGGUUCGUUGGGUAUAACGACUGCACCUUCACUUCACCCUCUGCUAUUUAUAUCUUGCUUUAAGUGCUUUCCCUUGGUCCUUUAUGCUCCUUUGUUUUCCCUUCAUAAAUGCUCUUUGGGCAGCCAAAAAAGGAGCCAAAUUAUCGCACUUCAAAGUUGUUGGAUUUUGUCACCCUGCCUUCUGCUGUUGCGAGGUUGGGGGGCAGUGUUCCUGGCAAAACUAAACAUUUUAAUACCUGAUGAUUUGGCUACUUUAAGGCAGCCCUUCGUCUCUAGGACUCAGUUUUCAUUUUUUCCCAUCCCUCUCCUUUUUCUCUCCUCCUUCCUUUGGCUUGUCUCCCACCCUUUCUGCCUCUGAUCGAAAACAUUAGCAAAUGUGCCGAGCUUGAAGAAGAAUUGAAAACUGUGACGAACAACUUGAAGUCACUGGAGGCUCAGGCUGAGAAGGUAGGCCAGGAGCAUGGUGUGGGGGAAAGGCAUCUUUUAAGAGCUGCUCAAAAGAGGCCCUGCCAGAAAGCAACACUUACAGUAGACAUUUUAGUAAAUGGCAAUAUUGUGAGGUGAUUUUUGGAGAGUUACUAGAUAACAAAUUCUUUUUUUUAACUAGAGAAUUUAUUUUAUGUUAGGGAUAUGAGUCAUCAAUUUAAUUUAAACCAAGUGCCAAGUGGAUAAGUUAUCUUGUUGUUAUCCCAUGUAAAACAAUAGGCAAGAAAGCAGAGAAUGUAUUGCAGUGUGCCAUUUGAUAUCAGAGAUUCCAUUACCUCCUAAGAGAUCCUUAACAUCUGUUGCCUGGGCUGGCGAGUUCUUUGCAUGAGAAGCCAUGAGUAGAUUGAGCUGCAGCCUGACAUCUGGAAUGUUCUUUCUAAUUACAGUACUCGCAGAAGGAAGACAAAUAUGAGGAAGAGAUCAAGGUCCUUUCCGACAAGCUGAAGGAGGCUGAGACUCGAGCUGAGUUUGCGGAGAGGUCAGUAACUAAAUUGGAGAAAAGCAUUGAUGACUUAGAAGAGAAAGUGGCUCAUGCCAAAGAAGAAAACCUUAGUAUGCAUCAGAUGCUGGAUCAGACUUUACUGGAGUUAAACAACAUGUGAAAACCUCCUUAGCUGCGACCACAUUCUUUCAUUUUGUUUUGUUUUGUUUUUAAACACCUGCUUACCCCUUAAAUGCAUUUUUAUUUACUUUUACCACUGUCACAGAAACAUCCACAAGAUACCAGCUAGGUCAGGGGGUGGGGAAAACACAU